UACUGUCUACUGGCAAAAAGUGCCGA
rnacentral:piRNA from 1 species